rnacentral:SRP_RNA from 1 species
GCAGGUCCCUCGUGCGGCGUUACCUCGCCCAAUCCCCCCAGGGUCGGAAGACAGCAAGGGUAAGUGAGCUCUGACGGGUGCACGGGGGACCCCUCCA